rnacentral:rRNA from 1 species
AACGAACGCUGGCGGCAUGCCUAACACAUGCAAGUCGAACGAGACCUUCGGGUCUAGUGGCGCACGGGUGCGUAACGCGUGGGAACCUGCCUUUAGGUUCGGAAUAACUCAGAGAAAUUUGAGCUAAUACCGGAUGAUGUCUUCGGACCAAAGAUUUAUCGCCUUUAGAUGGGCCCGCGUUGGAUUAGCUAGUUGGUGGGGUAAAGGCCUACCACGGCGACGAUCCAUAGCUGGUCUGAGAGGAUGAGCAGCCACACUGGGACUGAGACACGGCCCAGACUCCUACGGGAGGCAGCAGUGGGGAAUAUUGGAAAAUGGGCGAAAGCCUGAUCCAGCAAUGCCGCGUGAGUGAUGAAGGCCUUAGGGUUGUAAAGCUCUUUUACCCGAGAUGAUAAUGACAGUACCGGGAGAAUAAGCUCCGGCUAACUCCGUG